rnacentral:piRNA from 1 species
ACUCUGGUUUCUCUUCAGAUCGU